rnacentral:rRNA from 2 species
CUAUACAUGCAGUCGAGCGACUGAUUAGGAAGCUUGCUUCUAUGACGUUAGCGGCGGACGGGUGAGUAACACGUGGGCAACCUGCCUGAUAAGACUGGGAUAACUUCGGGAAACCGAAGCUAAUACCGGAUAGGAUCUUCUCCUUCAUGGGAGAUGAUUGAAAGAUGGUUUCGGCUAUCACUUACAGAUGGGCCCGCGGUGCAUUAGCUAGUUGGUGAGGUAACGGCUCACCAAGGCAACGAUGCAUAGCCGACCUGAGAGGGUGAUCGGCCACACUGGGACUGAGACACGGCCCAGACUCCUACGGGAGGCAGCAGUAGGGAAUCUUCCGCAAUGGACGAAAGUCUGACGGAGCAACGCCGCGUGAGUGAUGAAGGCUUUCGGGUCGUAAAACUCUGUUGUUAGGGAAGAACAAGUACGAGAGUAACUGCUCGUACCUUGACGGUACCUAACCAGAAAGCCACGGCUAACUACGUGCCAGCAGCCGCGGUAAUACGUAGGUGGCAAGCGUUAUCCGGAAUUAUUGGGCGUAAAGCGCGCGCAGGCGG